GACGAACGCUGGCGGCGUGCUUAACACAUGCAAGUCGAACGGAAAGGCCCUGCUUUUGUGGGGUGCUCGAGUGGCGAACGGGUGAGUAACACGUGAGUAACCUGCCCUUGACUUUGGGAUAACUUCAGGAAACUGGGGCUAAUACCGGAUAGGAGCUCCUGCUGCAUGGUGGGGGUUGGAAAGUUUCGGCGGUUGGGGAUGGACUCGCGGCUUAUCAGCUUGUUGGUGGGGUAGUGGCUUACCAAGGCUUUGACGGGUAGCCGGCCUGAGAGGGUGACCGGCCACAUUGGGACGGAGAUACGGCCCAGACUCCUACGGGAGGCAGCAGUGGGGAAUAUUGCACAAUGGGCGGAAGCCUGAUGCAGCAACGCCGCGUGCGGGAUGACGGCCUUCGGGUUGUAAACCGCUUUCGCCUGUGACGAAGCGUGAGUGACGGUAAUGUGUAAAGAAGCACCGGCUAACUACGUG
rnacentral:rRNA from 1 species